rnacentral:rRNA from 1 species
CCUACGGGGGGCAGCAGUGGGGAAUAUUGCACAAUGGGGGCAACCCUGAUGCAGCAACGCCGCGUGAGUGAAGAAGUAUUUCGGUAUGUAAAGUUCUAUCAUCAGGGAAGAAAAUGACGGUACCUGACUAAGAAGCCCCCGCUAACUACGUGCCAGCAGCCGCGGUAAUACGUAGGGGGCAAGCGUUAUCCGGAUUUACUGAGUGUAAAGGGAGCGGAGACGGUGAGGCAAGUCUGAAGUGAAAGCCCUGGGCUCAACCCCGGGACUGCAUUGGAAACUGUUAUGCUGGAGUGCUGGAGAGGUAAGCGGAAUUCCUAGUGUAGCGGUGAAAUGCGUAGAUAUUAGGAGGAACACCAGUGGCGAAGGCGGCUUACUGGACAGUAACUGACGUUGAGGCUCGAAAGCGUGGGGAGCAAACAGGAUUAGAUACCCGUGUAGUC